AUCAGGUAUCAGGAAGUAGACAAAUUUGUGUUUGUAAAUACGCAGCUUUAUACGACAGACAUUGAUAUAUAUAUAGAAUGGACAACAAUUCGUUGUUUGUGGUAAUUUUUAUAGUGCUCAUCUUUAAAAUUUGUUGUUGGGGAGCUAUUUGUUAUCGAAUAAGAUGGUCAAACAGAUUCGGAAUUAAACGAACCACAAUUAUACAUCGGACUGUGAUUCAAGAGCCUGUUGAAAAUGGUAUUUCUGGUAUAGAAAACCCUGGAUAUUUGCAGCAGCCUCUAGCUUAUACCGAUACAACCAGUCCAAACCAAAGACAAUCGUCGGUACAGCCAUUAUCCGAGCAAAUGACCAAAGCACCGUACUAUGCAGAACAGUAUAAUCUGGGUGCAUCGCGUUAUUAGUGUAUUUAAGUUGGAUGAUUACGAAGGUUUUGCUUGUUAAUACUUCCCAUUCACUUUUAUUCAAAAUAUUUUGCUUCUCACUAAUGUAUUGUUAUAAUUGACACCAUUAAUAAUUGUAGUUUCUACCGUAUAACGCGUUAUUUUCGCGGGUGUGCAAUAUCGCAAUUUUCUGUAAAUAAGGUAUACGAAAUAUUUUGGCGUUUAUUAUUUUCAAGUUUGCGGGUUUAAAACUUUUAUCAAUAAUUUUGCAUUUACACUUUAUUUUGGUGAUUUCUAUCCAUCCGCAAAUAUCAGCGAAAAUGUACAGUCUGCAAAAAUAACCCGCUAUACGGUAUGCAAUUAUCAUCAAACAAAGUCAAACGAAUCUACUUGUGAUAUGUAUCUACAUUAAUGUAAGGGAUUAAGAUGCAUAUAGAUUUACCACUUACUUUGUAUAAAGCAUUUAUUAUUUUGUAAUUAUCUUAAGGGUUUCAAUGCACAUAUGUUUCAUACAAAUGGUCAGAAAGAUUAUUCAAAGAAAAAAGAAAUUAGUUUACAAAUAUAAACACUGAUUUCGAAAUAUAGAAAAAAAAAGUACAUCUAUCAUUCUGCUUGAAAUAACAUUUGAUAUUUCGAUAUCUUUAUGUCGUUUUAAAUUGUAUUUGUACAAGUAAUAGAUAACUUGUAUUUAAAAAAUAUAAUUACAUUCAAUAACCUGUAAAUAUGAUACCAUGUACCAUAUCAGUAUUAUAUUUUAACAUCUAUUAAUAUUUUCAAAAUGCUGUUUAUACACUUGCUUUCUUCUUGCGUGAGUCUUAUGUCGUAGGGCACCUUCAAUAAAACAUUCAAUCAUCAUUUGUAAUAUAAUAAAAUAAUCAGAUACAAUC